rnacentral:lncRNA from 1 species
UUCUCUUUACUCCAAUGUACUUAUCUCCUACUGUUCUUUAUUAUUAUUUAUGUAUACUCCUAAAAUAAGUGAUAGUUUUCAAGCUAUAUUUAUUGGGAUGUUACAACAGGUUAUUCAUAUUUCAUUUGAUGGUUAAAGCCAAAUUGAAAGUUAAGUUGUGGUAAUUCUAAGGAUUCCCCCUGGGAAAAAGAGAGAUGUCUCCUACGUUACNCNUACCAUGUGGAAGUAGCGACGUAAUUGAAUAGAGUCAUUCAGUCUGAAUGCUAUAUGAAGAACAUAAGCCAGAUGAAGGAACGGGAAGACCUANGAUGUAGAAGAUCAUAACAUGAGCGACAAAUUUGGAUUCCUAUAUACCCACUUGUGCGGUACUUCAUAGUGUGAUAUAUAUAAGAUCCAUCUGUAUAGAUAUCAUCAUCUACAUCCAGA